rnacentral:rRNA from 1 species
AGACGUCUACAUUAGAUACCCCUGUAGUCCAGCCGUAAACUAUGCGCGUUAGGUGUAUCGGUGACCACGAGUUACCGAGGUGCCGAAGGGAAACCGUGAAGCGAGCCACCUGGGAAGUACGGCCGCAAGGCUGAAACUUAAAGGAAUUGGCGGGGAGCACCACAACGGGUGGAGCCUGCGGUUUAAUUGGACUCAACGCCGGGAAGCUCACCGGAUAAGACAGCGGAAUGAUUGCCGGGCUGAAGACUCUGCAUGACUAGCUG